UAUGCAAGUCGAACGGUAACAGGAAGCAGCUUGCUGCUUCGCUGACGAGUGGCGGACGGGUGAGUAAUGUCUGGGAAACUGCCUGAUGGAGGGGGAUAACUACUGGAAACGGUAGCUAAUACCGCAUAACGUCGCAAGACCAAAGAGGGGGACCUUCGGGCCUCUUGCCAUCGGAUGUGCCCAGAUGGGAUUAGCUAGUAGGUGGGGUAACGGCUCACCUAGGCGACGAUCCCUAGCUGGUCUGAGAGGAUGACCAGCCACACUGGAACUGAGACACGGUCCAGACUCCUACGGGAGGCAGCAGUGGGGAAUAUUGCACAAUGGGCGCAAGCCUGAUGCAGCCAUGCCGCGUGUAUGAAGAAGGCCUUCGGGUUGUAAAGUACUUCAGCGGGGAGGAAGGCGAUGAAGGUAAUAACCUUGUCGAUUGACGUUACCCGCAGAAGAAGCACC
rnacentral:rRNA from 1 species